rnacentral:lncRNA from 1 species
CUUGUGGGUGAACUGUUUUAUAUACAGUCUUGUCUAUGUAUCAAUCCCAUCCUUUUAAUGUAUCCUCCCCCCUGCAGUUUCCACCAUGGUAACUCUAAGUUUGAUUUCAAAAGCUAGGAGUUUGUUUCUGAUGUAUAAAUACAUUUUUUUUUGAAUCAUUUCUUAUUAGAUUCCACAUGUAAGUAAUAGCCUAUGAUAUUUGUCUUUCUCUGUCUGACGUACUUCACUUAGUGUGAGAAUCUCUAGGUCCCAUGCAUAUUGCUGCAAAUGGCAUGGUUUCAUUCUUUUUUAGGGCUCAGUAAUAUUCCACUGUGUAUAUGGACCACAUCUUCUUUAUCUGUUCCUCUGUCCAUGGACCCUUAGGUUGUUUCCAUGUGAGGGAAAUGGAUGCAUUAGUCUGUUUCUGUUUGGUACCUAAGUUCAUUUGUAUCCUUGUUUUAGAUUCUACGUAUAAGUGAUAUCAUAUGAUAUUUGUCUUCCUCUGUGUGACUGAUGUCACUUAGUAUGAGUAUCUCUAGGUCCAUCCGUGUUGCUGCAAAUGAUAUGAUGAGGUUCUUUUUAAUGGUUCUUUUUUAAUUCCAUUGUACAUAUACAGCUGCCUCUUUACCUAUGCCCCAUCCAUCCUGACCCAUAGCUGUGCACUGUUCUCUCUUCGAUGCAGUGUCGCACCCCCAGGUACAAGUGCACACAGCAUACACGGUGACACAUGCACACACUCACGCGUGCCCAGCCACCGGCUCCCUCUGCUGCUCUGCUCUGGCAGAAUAACAGGUUUUUCCAGGGUGCCAUGGAUCCUACCCAUGUCCUCCAUCUCUCCCCAGGGAUUUUAAGAAGAAUAAGAAGUAAGGAGAAUGGAGUUCCCAUCGUGGCUCAGUGGGUUGUGCACCGACUAGGAUCCAUGAGGACGCGGGUUCAAUCCCUGGCCUCGCUCCGUGGGUUAAGGAUCUGGCAUUGCUGUGAGCUGUGGUGUAGGUUGCAGACGUGGCUCGGAUCUGGUGUUGCUGUGGUUGUGGUGUAGAGUGACACCUGCAGCUCCGAUUCGACCCCUGGCCUGGAAACUUGCAUGUGCUGCGGGUGCAGCCCCAAAAAGACAAAAAAAAAAAAAGAUAAUGGAAGCCCCGUGAGGUGUCUUUUGCCACCUCUGCACAACAGAGGUGUUUUGCAAAGGGACAGGGGAUGGACCCAGAGGGAGAUGGGGGGAGACUGCCCCCGUGGGACUUGUUCCUGGCACCAUGACUGACAACCAGACCCCCAGGCGUGGGUAGAAAUGGAUGGCAUGGGUUGAACCACCCCAGACAGCACACUGAGCAGAUGCCGGGAGGCCCCUGCACUCCCCAGGGCUGCAUCCCCUCUGCUUUCCAUGUGUCUUCACAUCCUGUUUUGCAAAAGCACACACGAGCCAGUGCGAUUUCCGUCCGGGGGAGAUAGUGAUUUUUGUAUCGGCCGCAAGCCAGCGGCAGCAUCUCGCCCCCGCUGCUGCAAGAGUUGGCUGCAAGGAGCCUUCAGUGGUCCCAGUCUGCUGAGGACCGGUCAGAAGGACAUCAUCUUUUUCGCUUGGCUGUGGCUCCCAACGUGUGUCAUUUCCUCAUUCCCAUCGCUGUGAGGCCAGGUCAGGUGGGAGGUUUAACUCUUUUUAAGGCACUGUCUUGACCCGGGCGACCUGACUUGUGAAGGGUUCUUUUUCUUUCUUUCCUUUUCUUUUUUUUUUCCAAAAUAGUUGUGAAGACCCCCUGCUCUCCCCCAAACCUGCCACACCCGCAUGUCCGGGGUAGGUCUGGGUGCGUGGAUUUUGGCAGUAUUUGCUGAUCGUCUCCUGGGGUUCUUAUUUCUCAAGCUGGGUGAAAACUUGACCCUGAAAGAUGUGUCUGGAUUGAAGAUCGCUUCCAAAGCUGAGGCUUAGGAGUCUAGAAACACUUCAAUUUGGGAUGGGGAGGAAAAAAAGCCUACCUAGGCAUUAGGGCUAAUGAAUGGCUUAGGAUUGGCAAAGUAGAUACAAGCAUAAGCCAAAAUAUAUCUUCUUCUUUUUAUUUAUUGGCAUGGGUGCAUCAGCCUCAGAAAAAUCUGUCUGCGGGAAGCAGCCAGAAUGUGGGCUCUGUGAGUCCUUCAUGUACUGUCUUCUUCUCUCAAAAUAUCUUUUGUUUUUUCCUCUUACAGAUAUGAUGGCCUUUCUUUUCGUUGUUAAAGAAAAGUUUCAUUGAAGUGGACUGGAUGGACACGGCUGUGAUCUUUUCUGCUGUACAGCAGAGUGACUCAGGCGUCCACGUCUACACAGCCAUUCUCCUUCAGAUUCAUUCCCCAUGUAGAUGAUCACAGCAUACUGGGUAGAGGUCGCUGUGCUGGACAGCAGGUGCCCGUUGGCCCGUCAUUCCACAGACCUCCGUGUGCACGUGCCAAUCCCACAGCCCCCAGUCCAUCCGUGCCCCCGCUGGUCGGUCCCCUUUGCUGACCAUAAGUUUGUUUUCAAAGUCUGUGAGUCUGUUUCUGUCCUGUAUUUAGGUUCCUUUGUGUCAUAUUUUAGAUUCCACUGCUAAGUGAUAGCUUACGGUAUUUGUUUUUCUCUUUUGGACUCAUUUCACUUAGUAUGAUAAGUUCUCGGUCCUUCCGUGUUGCUGUAAAUGGCAUGAUUCCAUAUGUUUUCAUGGCUGCGUAAUAUUCCACUGUGUAUAUACUGCAUGUUCGCUAUCCGUUCAUCUGCUGAUGGACAUUUAGGUUGUUUCCUUGUCUUGGCUGUUGUGAAUAGUGCUGCAGUGAACAUUGGGGUGCGUGGAUCGUUUCAAAUUUUGGUUUUGUCCAGAUAUAUGCCCAGGAGUGGGAUUCUGGAUCAUAGAGUAGAUCUGUGUUUAGUUUUUUAAGGACCCUCCAUCCUGUUUUCCAUAGGACACCACUUUGAAUUCCCACCUACCGUGGACAAGGCUGCUUUCUCUCCACUCCCUCUCCAGCAUGUGUUAUGGGUCGUCUUUUUGAUGAUGGUCAUUGUGGCAAAUGUUCCAAAUAGCUGUUGCAUCAUUGUCUUUUUCCUUUCCUUCUUUUUUUUUCCCCCCUCUGGCCACACCCACAGCAGGUAGAAGUUCCCAGGCCAGGGUUUGAAUCCAAGCCACAGCAGUGACAAUGCUGGAUCCUUAAUGCUGAGCCACCAGGGAACACCUGCAUCCUUGUCUUGCACACCCAGCAGCCCCAGUGAUGGCUUCUCAUUCCUCUCAAACGUCCAAAGAUGUUCCUAUGUUGGUCACUCGCCAGGGCCUCUGUACCACAUCUGUCCCCAUCAUCACCCAGCAAUAUGUAUAUUGAUAUUCCAUGUGAGUUAAUGUCUCUUUUUGGAAUGUCUCAUGUCUUUAGUUCACAAACAAACAAAAAUCUAUAAAUGUUUCAAGGAUGCACACUCAAAGGAAAACACACGUGGCGAUUAGACAAGGCACCAAGUGUGAAUAGCACAGAACAUUUUUAGCCAGAAACCAAACCCGCUUGGAUGGGACUAGCGGUCGUAUGAAACCAGCAACAUCAAAGGAGAAUUUGAGACAUUCCCCCAGACUCCCUGGAGGGUCAUCAAGCAUCUUCUGCUCCCAAGGCCUCAGGGGUUCCUGGCUAAACACAUCCCAGGCUGCGGUUAUUCAGUCCUCAAAUUCAAAUUGGGAACAUCACGGGGAAGACGGGGUAAGGACCUCCGCUUCCGGUCAAGAUGGAGCGACAGGAACAGAAUUUGCCCUCCAGCCUCAAUCACAACCACAAAUGGUCUGAAUGUUGGCAGAUUCGCAGGUGCAAACUGGCAUAUAGAGGCGGGAUAAACCGCAGAGUCCCGCUAUGGAGCAUGGGCAGCUCUAUUCAGCAUCCUGUGAUAAACCAUUGUGGAAAAGCAUCCGAAAAAGAAUGUGUCUGUGUGGAUAACCGAGUCACGUCGUGGUCCAGCAGAAAGGAACACAGCAUUGCAAAUCCACUCUCCUUUGAUGAACUACCUUGUAAAUCAAUACAUAGUCCAGAUAUAGGCGAGAGCAGUUUUCAAGAGUGGCCAUGAGGCAGUUCUGAACAGUGACCCCGAGGGCCCCCAAAAGGAACCAGAUGCAAUCCCGGCAACCUGCGAUCCUUCAAGAGGGUGAAAAAAGACAAGAGGCACCAUGCAUUCCCUUGCAUGGUUCACCUUGGCCACACGGCACGGCCCCUGCUGCAAAGGAGGCUGGGAAGGGUCCCCCAUCAGGGCAAGCAUGUGCCCAGCAGCCCUGGGAGAGGUUCGAGGACAAAGGUGAGUAUGGGUUGGUGUCGGGUUAUUUGUAUCUGCUCACGUCUUCAGGGAGAUGAAUAACCCGGAGCCCAGACCACGGCACUGGGACUCACGGAAAACGGUCCCAUUGGAAAGGGAAGUUAGGAGUUCUGCUGUGCCUCAGUGGUGACAAAUCCCACUGGUAUCCAUGAGGAGGUGGGUUCCGUCCCUGGCCUCACUCAGGGGGUGAAGGUGUAAGUCACAGACGUGGCUCAGAUCUGGCGUUGCUGUGGCUGUGGUGCAGGCUGGCAGGUGCAGCUCCGAUUCAACCUCUAGCCUGGGAGCCUCCGUAUGCCGUGAGUGCCGUCCUACAAAUGCAAAAAAAUUAAAAGAAAGAAAGAAAGAAGGAAAAGCAUGUUAGAGCAGACACAUCUUUGAACACGUCUGAUGUGAACGUGAGGGAAGGAAGCGGGGGAUUGAAACGUGGGGCUAUGGGAUUUCCCUGGAGGCUCAGCAGGUUAAGGAUCCCUCGUUGUCCGUGGGAUGGCUCGAGUUGCUGCUGUGGCAUGGGCUCGAUCCCUGGCUGGGGAGCUUCCGCAUGCCGCAGGCACCACCAAAAAAGAAAGGAAAGAAAGAAACACGGGAGUGUGUUUCCUUGUUUGGAGAACAGAUGCCAUUGAGAUGUGACAUGCACAAGGAGCAUGUUUGGGACGGAAGGAGGGGCACAUCCAAGUUUUUAGACAUCCGUGCACUUCAGCGUCAUGGGGGCAUCCAUGUGGAGGCAUUCCGGAGACCACGGGCCACUUGAAUGCCCCUAGGGGACACCUAGAGGCACACGGGGCUUAUUUGUGUGGCGGGGGGGAACUAGUUCACGGAGCAAGAGCAAACGAGGCCAUCAAGAGCAAACGAUGCUGGUGAGGUUUCAGCUCUCACCCCUCGGAGCGUGUGGAGGAGAGGAAGGGAUACGAAAUAGGGAUCGAUGAAGCGUAGUGGACGACGAGGCGGGCAGAGCAGAAGGGCUCGACGUUGUGGAGAGCAGGGAAGAAGGAUUCCUGGGGUGCAGCUCCAGAAGGUCCAUUCUUGAAGACGGCUUUUUGGGUUGGAAAGGAGAUCAGGGCAUGUCCCCCCAGGGCCACGUCAGAAGCACAGCGGACCUCACUGAGCAGAGUCGACACCACAGGAGAAAAACGAGUGUGCUCCACAUUCAAGAGCAUCUCUCCAGACAGGAAGGAGCACGAAGGGACCGCAGCUUCAGGAAGGAGGCAGGAGGUCUCGCAACAUCUUGGCGUGUCUGCCGUUUCUUUUUUUUUUUCCUCUGACAAACGUCUAGCCCCGUCGGACAUCUGGACAUGAUAUAACGUCGGUGGAGGCAAAGGGGAAGAAGGACCAGAAGGGCCUGCGAGGGCAGUGCCUCCCCCAGGAGCGGAGGGGGCGGACAGGAGUGGCCGUCGGGGCAGGAGCCGCCUGCGGUGAAGACGUGAGUCAUGCUGGAGGCGGAUGGGGAGGCCGGGAAGAGCCAGGAGGGCGGGGCUUGGGGGGGAGGACUGGACCCUCAGGCUGAAGUUGUGACACCGGCGUGGCAUCUCAGAUGGGCAUGGAGCCUCAUGGGCCCUGAUGCUGUUGCUACAGCCUGAAACCAUGGCUUCACAAGAUCCUUGGUACAACCACAGGAGAGGCUCAUUAAUUUUUUUAUCCUCUUCCACAUAUUUCCUUUGGUGUGAAUUACAGUAGGGCUCCUUCUCUUUGCUUCCUUCUUUCUGUCUCUCUCUCUCUCUCUCUCUUUUUUUUUUGUUAACGGCACAGAACUCCCAAAGUCCCAUCCUUCUCCAGGAAUCAGACUGAUGUCAUCGAAACCUCAGCAUAUGCUUUUCAUUAAUGAUGGAAACUUUCUUUCCAUCACCGAAGCAUGUUACGAGAGACCUAAGGGUGUAUGCGAAAAGUCUUUAUUAU